rnacentral:tRNA from 1 species
AAUAAGAAAGCAAUGUAUUUGUUUUUAGUUUCGACCUAAAAGAAAGUAAAUUUUUACUCUUAUUA